GCCUCCGUAGCUCAGGGGAUAGAGCAAGUGCCUUCUAAGCACGAGGUCGGGGGUUCGAAUCCCUCCGGGGGCGCCU
rnacentral:tRNA from 1 species